UCCAAUAGCGUAUAUUAAAGUUGUUGCAGUUAAAAAGCUCGUAGUUGGAUCUCGGGUCCAGGCUCGCGGUCCGCCUCGCGGCGGUUACUGCCCGUCCUGACCUACCUCCCGGUGUUCCCUUGGUGCUCUUGACUGAGUGUCUCGGGUGGCCGGAACGUUUACUUUGAAAAAAUUAGAGUGUUCAAAGCAGGCAGCUCGCCUGAAUAAUGGUGCAUGGAAUAAUGGAAUAGGACCUCGGUUCUAUUUUGUUGGCCUUCGGAACUUGAGGUAAUGAUUAAGAGGGACGGACGGGGGCAUCCGUAUUACGGUGUUAGAGGUGAAAUUCUUGGAUCGCCGUAAGACGAACAACUGCGAAAGCAUUUGCCAAGAAUGUUUUCAUUAAUCAAGAACGAAAGUCAGAGGUUCGAAGACGAUCAGAUACCGUCGUAGUUCUGACCAUAAACGAUGCCAACUAGCAAUCGGCCGGAGUUGCUUCAAUGACUCGGCCAGCAGCUUCCGGGAAACCAAAGUUUUUGGGUUCCGGGGGAAGUAUGGUUGCAAAGCUGAAACUUAAAGGAAUUGACGGAAG
rnacentral:rRNA from 1 species